rnacentral:rRNA from 1 species
UACGGGGGGGAGCAAGCGUUGUUCGGAUUUACUGGGCGUAAAGGGCGCGUAGGCGGCGCAACAAGUCACUUGUGAAAUCUCCGGGCUUAACCCGGAGCGGUCAAGUGAUACUGUCGUGCUAGAGUGCGGAAGGGGCUACUGGAAUUCUCGGUGUAGCGGUGAAAUGCGUAGAUAUCGAGAGGAAACACCUGCGGGCGAAGGCGGGUAGCUGGGCCGACACUGACGCUGAUGCGCGAAAGCCAGGGGAGCGAACGGG